rnacentral:rRNA from 1 species
AUUGAACGCUGGCGGCAUGCCUUACACAUGCAAGUCGAACGGCAGCACGGGAGCAAUCCUGGUGGCGAGUGGCGAACGGGUGAGUAAUAUAUCGGAACGUGCCCAGUCGUGGGGGAUAACGCAGCGAAAGCUGUGCUAAUACCGCAUACGAUCUAUGGAUGAAAGCGGGGGACCGCAAGGCCUCGCGCGAUUGGAGCGGCCGAUAUCAGAUUAGCUAGUUGGUGGGGUAAAGGCCCACCAAGGCGACGAUCUGUAGCUGGUCUGAGAGGACGACCAGCCACACUGGAACUGAGACACGGUCCAGACUCCUACGGGAGGCAGCAGUGGGGAAUUUUGGACAAUGGGCGCAAGCCUGAUCCAGCAAUGCCGCGUGCAGGAUGAAGGCCUUCGGGUCGUAAACUGCUUUUGUACGGAACGAAACGGUGGGCUUUAAUACAGUUUGCUAAUGACGGUACCGUAAGAAUAAGCACCGGCUAACUACGUGCCAGCAGCCGCCGUAA